rnacentral:misc_RNA from 1 species
GAUGAAGAACGUAGCAAAAUGCGAUAAGUAAUGUGAAUUGCAGAAUUCAGUGAAUCAUCGAAUCUUUGAACGCACAUUGCGCCCGCCAGUAUUCUGGCGGGCAUGCCUGUUCGAGCGUCAUUUCAACCCUCAAGCCCUCGGGUUUGGUGUUGGGGAUCGGCGAGCCUUUCUGGCAAGCCGGCCCCGAAAUCUAGUGGCGGUCUCGCUGCAGCCUCCAUUGCGUAGUAGCUAACACCUCGCAACUGGAACGCGGCGCGGCCAUGCCGUAAAACCCCAACUUCUGAAUGUUGACCUCGGAUCAGGUAGGAAUACCCGCUGAACUUAAGCAUAUCAAUAAGCGGAGGA